GGGAGACCUACUAACUAGGGAUGACAAUUCUACCCGCACCCAAUGGGUUCCCCGCAUCCCCGCCCCUACGGGUUUUAAAAUACCCGCACAAUUUGGAUAAUGGGUGCGGGUAUGGGG